rnacentral:rRNA from 1 species
GAGCGAUCUGGAGCAAAACUCUAAAAACAAUCUCAGUUCAGAUUGCAGGCUGCAACUCGCCUGCAUGAAGUCGGAAUUGCUAGUAAUCGUAGGUCAGCAUACUACGGUGAAUACGUUCCCGGGCCUUGUACACACCGCCCGUCAAACCAUGAGAGUUGGCAACACCCGAAGUCGGUAGUCUAACCGCAAGGAGGACGCCGCCGCAGGUGGGGUCGAUGAUUAGGGUUAAGUCGUAACAAGGUACC